UGGUGGCGAGUGGCGAACGGGUGAGUAAUGCAUCGGAACGUGCCAUUGAGUGGGGGGUAACGUAGCGAAAGUUACGCUAAUACCGCAUAUUCUGUGAGGCAGGAAAGCAGGGGAUCGCAAGACCUUGCGCUCUUUGAGCGGCCGAUGUCAGAUUAGCUAGUUGGUGAGGUAACGGCUUACCAAGGCGACGAUCUGUAGCGGGUCUGAGAGGAUGAUCCGCCACACUGGAACUGAGACACGGUCCAGACUCCUACGGGAGGCUAGCAGUGGGGAAUUUUGGACAAUGGGGGCAACCCUGAUCCAGCCAUGCCGCGUGAGUGAAGAAGGCCUUCGGGUUGUAAAGCUCUUUCGGCCGGGAAGAAAUCGCAUGGGUUAAUACCCUGUGUGGAUGACGGUACCGGCAUAAGAAGCACCGGCUAACUACGUG
rnacentral:rRNA from 1 species